rnacentral:rRNA from 1 species
CCUACGGGGGGCAGCAGUGGGGAAUAUUGGACAAUGGGGGGAACCCUGAUCCAGCCAUGCCGCGUGUGUGAAGAAGGCCCUCGGGUUGUAAAGCACUUUCAGUGAGGAAGAACGCCUGGUGGUUAAUACCCAUCAGGAAAGACAUCACUCACAGAAGAAGCACCGGCUAACUCCGUGCCAGCAGCCGCGGUAAUACGGAGGGUGCGAGCGUUAAUCGGAAUUACUGGGCGUAAAGCGCGCGUAGGUGGCUUGAUAAGCCGGUUGUGAAAGCCCCGGGCUCAACCUGGGAACGGCAUCCGGAACUGUCAAGCUAGAGUGCAGGAGAGGAAGGUAGAAUUCCCGGUGUAGCGGUGAAAUGCGUAGAGAUCGGGAGGAAUACCAGUGGCGAAGGCGGCCUACUGGACUGACACUGACACUGAGGUGCGAAAGCGUGGGUAGCAAACAGGAUUAGAUACCCCAGUAGUU